rnacentral:rRNA from 1 species
AAUCAACGCUGGCGGCGCGCCUAACACAUGCAAGUCGAACGAGAAAGCAGGAGCAAUCUUGUGAGUAAAGUGGCGUACGGGUGAGUAACACGUGGAUCAUCUACCCUCUUGUGGGGGAUAACCCUGGGAAACCGGAGCUAAUACCGCAUAAGUCCGAGAGGAGAAAGCAGCAAUGCGCUGGAGGAGGAGUCCGCGGCCGAUUAGCUAGUUGGUAGGGUAAAAGCCUACCAAGGCAACGAUCGGUAGCCGGCCUGAGAGGGCACACGGCCACACUGGCACUGAAACACGGGCCAGACUCCUACGGGAGGCAGCAGUGGGGAAUCUUGCACAAUGGGGGCAACCCUGAUGCGGCGACGCCGCGUGAGCGAUGAAGCCC